rnacentral:rRNA from 1 species
AGCAGCCGCGGUAAUUCCAGCUCCAAUAGCGUAUAUUAAAGUUGUUGCAGUUAAAAAGCUCGUAGUUGAAUUUCGGGGUCAGUAGAUUGGUCAUGCCUCCGGUAUGCACUGGUCUUACUGGCUCCUCCUUCCUGAUGAACCGUAAUGCCAUUAAUUUGGUGUUGCGGGGAGACUGGACUGUUACUUUGAAAAAUUAGAGUGUUUAAAGCAGGCUAACGCUUGAAUACAUUAGCAUGGAAUAAUGAAAUAGGACGUUCGAUCUUAUUUUGUUGGUUUCUAAGAUUGACGUAAUGAUUAAUAGGGAUAGUUGGGGGCAUUAGUAUUCAAUUGUC